AAAUCAAGGAAACAUGGACGGCGUGCAUACUCUGCACCAGCUAUGCAAUCUCAGCUCUGAAAAGAAGAAAACAGAAGGUUUUACCCAAAUCAGAGCUUGGGAAAGUUGACAAACAGGAACGCCAGAGCUCAAGUACCAAGCAGACUGGAUUCAUAGUUCAACAAAAGACACGCGCUGAAAGCCAACAGAUGCUGCAAGAAAAGCCUUUCUUCUCAAGCAUUGUCCAGGGAAUUUGAGAUUUGUUCAGUAGCCACA